AGGGGGGGGGGGGGGGGGGGGAGAAAGACUGUGCCGCUGGUCAAUGUGUAGGCUACCCGGUCACGUGGCUUACUUACAAUUGACCAACCAGAGACAGGUCUACAUGAUAGGCUACAGCCUAUUGCAUCAUUAAGAAAAAUAGCGCCAGAACCAAACACCAUGACCAUCCCAUUCCAGUCAUAGUACUCAUAGAUCUACUUCAAGAUUGUGUUGAUUUGUGAUUAACUCGAAUCUAUUCUAACAACUUUGGAAUAUGUGCGUCAAGCAAAGACUCUCGGAACCAAAGACAAGAGUGAAAGAAUGAUGGCAUCACUAUGAUCACUUCUUGCUGGAUCUGUCCAAGAGUCAAUGAGUACAGGUGGACCAUGUUGGAAAAUAACUUUCAGUCAAGACUCAAGUUGAGACAAGAGCUCCAUUGAUGUUAUUGAUCAAACUGAACAUGUUCUAGAGAUACUGGAGAAAAGAUUUGAGUGCAGUACAGACUCAUUAAUUAAAAGAAGCAGAGAUAAAUACAAUCAGGAUUGGGUAUGAAGCAAAAUUCCCAAUGGCAAAUAAUGUAUCACUGUUGGAAAUAGAAGUGAAACUGAAGGAUGAAGAUUCUCAUGAAAAUUUGAUCUAUCCAGUGAAAACAGCAUUAAGAGAACAAUAGUAUGGAUUAUAACUUGGCUGGACUGGACAUGGCACAAACAGAAAAUAAAUGUAUUGAAUUUUCAAUCCAAAUUAUGGAUAUUAGAUUAUUCAAGUGAGUUACCCAAGUCUGUCAAAUAACUUAGAGAAAGUACUUGAACUUGGCACAUGUGAUGGCACAGAAAUCGUAAAAAAAGAAGGAUGAUCCCAAACAUGUAAAACAUUUUACAAACAAACCUAAUCAAAGUUUAUAAAUGUUUAAAAAAAGUAAGAUGCACAAGCAAAUUUAUUUACAUACUACAGAUAUUAGAACUAAUG